rnacentral:rRNA from 1 species
GACCUUCUAUCUCUGUCUCGUGUUUCGCAGCAGAAGAAGAGGAGCCGCCGCCGCCGCUUUCCGCUUGCUCGCUCCUUGGGAUUGGGAUUGGGAUUGGUCAAGGCUAGGCGUUCCGGACGCAGCUACCGCCGAAGGGAGGCGCGCCGCCGCUGCUCCUACGACGCGGGCCGCCACGAAGGUCCCCUCCCCGCAGCGGACGAGCAGGUGUGGGUCGUCCAUAGAAUAGGCCGAUCUAGACACCGGGCUGCAGACUAACAACGAGA